AUAAAAUGUUACAUGAUAUGCAAUUUAACACAACGUCAUUAGGUCGAUUCAAAUUUAAAAAAAAACACGGUCAGCGUUUAAAUUACUUACACAACAAAUUAUGCAAAAAAAUUAUACAAGCGUCAUAAUAAUUACACGACAUUUCAUCCAAUAUAAAACGUUUUUUCUCGAAUCUUGUUACCAACACAAAUCGACUUCCCCGUAUUUAUAAACAAUCAACAAUUUUUUGUUCAUAAAUUUUUACAAAAUAUUUUAUAAGAAAUUUAUCUAAUUAUAAUAUACAAACAUCUAAAACCCCAACAUAUUCAACGUUAUUAGCGUAAUAUUAAGAAAUAAUAUCCAGGUCAUCCAAGAAGAUAUUUUGUAAAGCAAGAAAUAGAGGACAUGACUAUUGUAAAACUCAAAAGAGUUACACAUGCUUAAGGAAGGAUUAACAACAACGCCAAACGCAGCUGGCAAGGGACGUCAGCCUAUUAGAAGGGGGGCAUUUGUGACGAACCGACUUCGUCACAUUCCGUCCCUAUGGAAUAAAAACAAAUUACACAAAUACAAAUUAAUUUAAAUGUAAUAUUUUUAUAAUUAGAACUAAAAAGAAACCAAUUAAACCUAACUUUGAUUGCUAACAAAAAAUAUCGAAAUAAACAAUAAAAAUUGAGCCACUUCUCAAUGGUCACUCAACUUAACAGUUUCACACUUGGGGUCGUUAACUUUGUGGUAUUCAAAUUUCACAAUAUUCACGAAAGAGUUUAUGAGUGGUGAAUCCAAGUUUAAUGAACUGGGAUCACACCACGUCUAAAUUGAAAACUAAGCAAAAAAAACACGGGUCAAAGACCAGGUGUUACAAAGAGAACGAUUUCCCCCGCUUUCGAUCUUCGGUGAACGAAAUGGAUCGAAAAGGGAAAAUCAGGGAGUUGGCUUUAGACUUUCCUGAAGGAAAGUUGAGUUUGUUUGUUUUGAGUCGGAGAUCUGAAAGAAAUAGAUCGUUUUGAAUUGUUUCGUUGAGUUAGUAAUUUUUGCUUAAAAGUUAAUCGAUAUAGUGUGAAAUUAGUGCACAUGAAGUGAAGACCAUUGAGAAGAGGAAGUCAGGAUAUAAAAAGGAUUCUUAAAUUAACAUUGCCAGACAAAGAUAUGGAAUAGAUUUGAUACUAUAAAGAAAAACAGUACAAUCAAACUUAUGUGUCAACUACCCUUGGAGUUUUCAGAUUAUUGCCUGUUUAUCUACCCAUGCGUUUUGUAAUUAGUCCUCCUAUUGUAACCGAGAGGGUUAUUCUUAGUCUGGUGGAACAAAGGUUCGAGUCGGCGACGGGGGAUAUAACUUAUGGAUAUCGGUAGAUUAGGGGAGGCGAUGUUUCGGGGGCGAAUUGAGGUAUUUUGUUACAUAGAUUUUUUUGAUAAGUGUUUAUAUGUUUUUAUGAAUUUUGUGCUAAUUUUGCUCUUUUUUUAGGUGCU